rnacentral:rRNA from 1 species
GCGUAAAGGCGCGUGUGAGCGGCUUCUUAAGUCGGGGGUGAAAUCCUGGAGCUCAACUCCAGAACUGCCUUCGAUACUGUAGAGCUUGAGUUCGGGAGAGGUGAGUGGAACUGCGAGUGUAGAGGUGAAAUUCGUAGAUAUUCGCAAGAACACCAGUGGCGAAGGCGGCUCACUGGCCCGAUACUGACGCUGAGGUGCGAAAGCGUGGGGAGCAAACAGG